CGCAUAAAUAAAUAUGUGCAAAUUACAUGUACAUAUGUAGAGACGUGCAUAACACAUAAACACAGACAUGCACCGCUCUCGACACCUCCUCUGCUCAUACUUGUUUACUUGUUCUAUUUAUAGCCGCAGCUCUGUUCAAAUGCCCUCUGCUGGGCUCAUCAAAGCUUUCUGUUGUCAUAGAAAUGGGCUGCUGCGUCCAUUAGCUCCUCUGUAAGCCCGCUUCCCAGAUCACAUCCACCAGAGGUGGGAGCACAGCUGCAGGUCAGGUAGAUGGAUGAUGCAGACCAGGAAUCUUUAAUCAUGUGGGAACAGAGCGGAAAACUCCUCAGCCAUUAACAGAGCAGGUGAGCAGGAUUGUGGCAGGCUGGACCGGAUCCCAGCUGUCGGGGUUAGAGGUAAGAGUUAAACCAAACCAAUCCAAUCGCAAAAACGACCUGACCAGCAGAUUUUUCAUUUGCAGUAACACGUGCAUGAAAAUUCAGCAGAGCAGGCGGAGUGUCAGAAAUGCACAUCAGAGGAAGGCAAUAAAGCUGAUUUGGUGGUUAGCACCACUACCUCACAGCAAGUUCCUGGGUUUGAAUGCACCAACUGACUGGGGCCUUACAGUGCGAGUUGUGAGGCCUGCGAAAGACUGGUGACCUCUCUGAGGUGUCCCCCACCCUCACCCUAUGACAAGAUCCACCUCAACCACUACCCUGACCUGGAUAAGCAGAAGAAUAUGGAUGGAUGGGUAUUUAUUUAUAAUAUGAAAAAUUUCCAGUCCUCUCUUUGCAAUUUAUUGCUAUUUUGGCAGUUCUCUUUAAGAUAGCACUUUACUAAACUGUGACACCUCAGUGCAGUGUAGUGUCCUUAUCAGCUGCUUCUGGGGGAACAAGGCAGUGAUGGAUAUUUCAAUGAAUGACCCACGAGUUCAGUUACGCAUGGCACACACUUUAUUUUUAUCUUGCUGCUUUGCUCUGGGUUUUAUACUGUUUUUUUCAUUGCAUGUAAUCAAAACUGCCCAUAUUUGAUGCUCUCUCCUUUCACUCUGAACACCACAGGGAUCACAGCAGAGAUAUUAUCAGUGCUGUUUCUUGCUAUAACCAAUACUCAUUUUGUUGUCAACACACAUGUGGGUAAACACAGUGACUGGCACUUCACUGAGACUUACUGCGGACUUUCUGACAAAUACAAUGGAAUAAA